rfam:Triticum aestivum genome assembly, contig: Triticum_aestivum_CS42_TGACv1_scaffold_221700_3B
AUUCUACUCCCUCCGUUGCACGAUACAUGCCUUCUAUUUGUCAAAAUAUAUAUGUAUCUAGACAUGUUUUAGUAUAUAGGCACAUCCAUUUUUGGACAAAUGGAAGUCAAGUAUUUUGGAAUGGAGGGAGUACACA